CCUCCAGCACGCUGCCACCCUCGCCACACCGCCGCGCACCGCCUACCCCACCCACGCGGCCUUCCACUGCGGAUGACACUCGACGCUGCGUUCGUUGCCUGCUCCCCCAUCCCUGCUACCACGGCGCCGCUUGGACUCCAUCCCACUGCUUCCACCUCGGCAAUGGUUCCCCCAACCCCGCCGGCUUCGCCAUCCUGACGCACUCCACCACCCGUUAGACCAGUCCGCCUGGCUCCCGUGGCGACGGCGCACUCCACCACCCGUUGGACCAGUCCGCCUGGCUCCUGCGGUGAACAUCGCUGCAACCCCGCUGUCGCUUCCCACCACAGCCGCUGUCCUACUCCACCUGCGCGCCACUUCCCGACUUCCCCUUGACGCAGCGCGUGCUCUCCAGCCUCCGGCUAGCUGUGACGCAAGGUGAGCUUGGUUGCUUAACAAAGUGUGUGCAGGCCAUAUCGCUUCAGAGGAUUGGGAGUCAAAAUCUUGCAGCUACAGGCUGUAGCUCUUCGGAUGAGAUGGGAGUGGAUGAGAAGAUCAGAUCCUAAUAUACCAUGGCAAGGAUUACUGGAAGCGGUGGAUGAUUUUGUACGUCAGCUCUUUAAUAGUUUGGUCAUAUUGAGUGAUGUGGGAGAUGGGCGUACAACUUUUUUGGACUAACAAAUGGAUGGAAGGCUUUGAUGUUAGUGAUUUUGCGCCAUCCUUACUACUGAAGAUCAGUCCGCGCAUCCUGAAUAAGUGCACAGUUUGGGAAGCUCUCCAUAACCAUCGAUGGUUGCAAGAUAUUGCUAGCAUGGCGAGGUCCAUCCGAACGAAUAGGUUCAGCUGGGCACCUUAUGGACAGUUCUCAACUAUGUCCAACUUGACAAUGCUAGACCGGAUGUGUUUCAAUGUUCCGGUGGCACGCAUUGUGUUGGUCGUAUUCGUGUCCUUCUGUGCUGGAUACCUCACUCAGCUUUGCCAAUCUAGCCUGAGUUCCUCUGCAAGGCAAUGCUUACUAAGGUCAUUGUGUGAAAUUUAUAGGAGUUAUUUGAAGAAUGGACUCACUAUGCAGCUAGAUGUUCCAAUUGGAUGCCCUUGCAAGAAGUAUUGCUGUGGUGGGUACAGCGCCACGGCCCCUCCCGCAUCAACACGCUGGUCCUCCAUAUGCAAAGGCCUAUGCAAAACUUAUAUCAUUUUUUGAACAAAGAAUGGACUCAUAUGCUAAUGUUGAUGCCCAAGUUUCCUUUGUAAGUAGUUCAAGAAUAAUAUAACACCAAUGUGGGAGGAGAAAUUGCUAUUGUUAUUCUGGUGAAAGCUGCAUUGGAGAAGAGUACGUGCAAAAGCAAUCAUGAUGCACGGUAAGUCCUCCUGCUGAUUUCUGAACAAAAAGAGUCAUGAUGCCCUCUUCGCUGCUGAUAUUCUACAAUUACUGGAGUUGCAAUUCUUGGCAUGAUCAUAUGUGUACACAAUGUGAAUAUACACGAGGUGGCAUAGCAGGAGUAGAAAAAGUGCAGCUCAAAGUGAGUGCACCUGUAUAAUUUCCUAGAAUUAUUUUCUUGGCAGAAGUUACUAUCUUCUCAUUAUGUAAUAGGAUUGUAAAUUUUGAGAAGUAGAAAUUCAAAAUUAAUACCAGUGCUAUAACUUAGGAGAGGCUCAUGUGGAUCAACUGUUUUUCUCAGCCCAUGGGAGAUUGUCGGUAAGAUCAAGCCAUACCGCCCCCUUUGCACCUUGCUAUAUUGCAAGUCUUGAAAAGCCUUCUAGGUACCUGUAGAAGCAUUGUGAAGGAGGGACAAAAGUUUUCUGUUCCUUUUAUUUGGAGUAUAAACUUUGAAUGAGAACAACUUGGUCACAACA